AAUCAACGCUGGCGGCGUGCCUAACACAUGCAAGUCGAACGAGAAAGUGGAGCAAUCCAUGAGUAAAGUGGCGCACGGGUGAGUAACACGUGACUAACCUACCCUUGAGUGGGGGAUAACCUAGGGAACCUGGGCUAAUACCGCAUAAUAUCGAGAGAUCAAAGGAGCAAUUCGCUUAAGGAGGGGGUCGGCGGCUGAUUAGCUAGUUGGUGGGGUAAGUGGCCCACCAAGGCNGUGAUCAGUAUCCGGCCUGAGAGGGCGCACGGACACACUGGAACUGAAACACGGUCCAGACUCCUACGGGAGGCAGCAGUGGGGAAUUUUGCGCAAUAGGGGGAACCUGACGCAGCAACGCCGCGUGGAGGAUGAAGUCCCUUGGGACGUAAACUCCUUUUCGAUCGGGACGAUAAUGACGGUACCGGGAG
rnacentral:rRNA from 1 species